rnacentral:rRNA from 1 species
UACGGAGGGGGCUAGCGUUGUUCGGAAUUACUGGGCGUAAAGCGCGCGUAGGCGGACCUGCAAGUCGGGGGUGAAAGCCCGAGGCUCAACCUCGGAACUGCCUUCGAUACUGCGGGUCUCGAGUCCGGGAGAGGUGAGUGGAAUUCCUAGUGUAGAGGUGAAAUUCGUAGAUAUUAGGAAGAACACCAGUGGCGAAGGCGGCUCACUGGCUCGGUACUGACGCUGAGACGCGAAAGCGUGGGGAGCAAACAGG